rnacentral:rRNA from 1 species
UACGUAGGUGGCAAGCGUUGUCCUGAAUUAUUGGGCGUAAAGCGCGCGCAGGCGGUCCUUUAAGUCUGAUGUGAAAUCACGUGGCUCAACCACGUGCGGUCAUUGGAAACUGGAGGACUUGAGUGCAGAAGAGGAAAGUGGAAUUCCAAGUGUAGCGGUGAAAUGCGUAGAGAUUUGGAGGAACACCAGUGGCGAAGGCGACUUUCUGGUCUGUAACUGACGCUGAGGCGCGAAAGCGUGGGGAGCAAACAGG